rnacentral:rRNA from 1 species
CCUACGGGCGGCAGCAGUGGGGAAUAUUGGACAAUGGGCGAAAGCCUGAUCCAGCCAUGCCGCGUGUGUGAAGAAGGCCUUCGGGUUGUAAAGCACUUUCAGUGGGGAAGAAAGCCUUGGGGCUAAUACCCUCGAGGAAGGACAUCACCCACAGAAGAAGCACCGGCUAACUCCGUGCCAGCAGCCGCGGUAAUACGGAGGGUGCGAGCGUUAAUCGGAAUUACUGGGCGUAAAGCGCGCGUAGGCGGUCUGAUAAGCCGGUUGUGAAAGCCCCGGGCUCAACCUGGGAACGGCAUCCGGAACUGUCAGGCUAGAGUGCAGGAGAGGAAGGUAGAAUUCCCGGUGUAGCGGUGAAAUGCGUAGAGAUCGGGAGGAAUACCAGUGGCGAAGGCGGCCUUCUGAACUGACACUGACGCUGAGGUGCGAAAGCGUGGGUAGCAAACAGGAUUAGAUACCCUAGUAGUC